rnacentral:rRNA from 1 species
GACGAACGCUGGCGGCGUGCUUAACACAUGCAAGUCGAACGAAGUGGCGAACGGGUGAGUAACGCGUAAUCAACCUGCCCUUCAGAGGGGGACACCAGUUGGAAACGACCGCUAAUACCGCAUACUGAAGGAGGGGAUUGCGUCUGAUUCGCUCGUUGGAGGGGUAACGGCCCACCAAGGCGAUGAUCAGUAGGCGGGCGGGGAGGGUGAACGGCCACAUUGGGACUGAGACACGGCCCAGACUCCUACGGGAUGCAGCCGUGGGGAAUCUUCCGCAAUUGACGAAAGUCUGACGGAGCAACGCCGCGUGAGUUAUGACGGCCUUCGGGUUGUAAAGCUCUGUUAAUCGGGACGCGGUACCGGAAUAGAAAGCCACGGCUAACUACGUGCCAGCAGCCGCGGUAAUAC